rnacentral:rRNA from 1 species
UACGGAGGGGGCUAGCGUUGUUCGGAAUUACUGGGCGUAAAGCGCGCGUAGGCGGCUUUGCAAGUCGGGUGUGAAAUCCCCAGGCUCAACCUCGGAACUGCCUUCGAUACUGGCGACCUUCGAGUCCGGGAGAGGUGAGUGGAACUCCGAGUAUAGAGGUGAAAUUCGUAGAUAUUCGGAAGAACACCAGUGGCGAAGGCGGCUCACUGGCCCGGUACUGACGCUGAGAUACGAAAGCGUGGGGAGCAAACAGG